rnacentral:rRNA from 1 species
UACGAAGGGGACUAGCGUUGUUCGGAAUUACUGGGCGUAAAGCGCACGUAGGCGGAUUUGUUAGUCAGGGGUGAAAGCCCGGAGCUUAACUCCGGAACUGCCUUUAAGACUGCAUCGCUAGAAUUGUGGAGAGGUAAGUGGAAUUCCGAGUGUAGAGGUGAAAUUCGUAGAUAUCUGGAAGAACACCAAUGGCGAAGGCAAUGUUCUGGCUCGUUUCUGACGCUCAGGUGCGAAAGCCAGGGGAGCGAACGGG